UAUCUGGCAGUCGUGGACAACGGUACAAGAUCAGGCGGUUAUAAUACAAUUGAAGAGAGAAUGGGCGAGAUCACCAUCUUCAUCCGAAACGUGGACGACGACGAAUACGCCAUAACAGUGAAACAGAACGACACCAUUGCUACCGUCAAAGACAGAAUAGCGACGACGUAUUCAAUAAAACAAAACACUCAGACUCUGCUCUUCAAGGGGCAACGACUCCAAAGCGAAAAAACGUUGAACUUUUACGGCAUUAAGGACGAAAACGUUAUUUUGAUGAGUGUUAAUGAUAAGGUGGAGGAACAGGGUCGUUACUGUGUUGUACAAUAAAGCUUGAACAAAAAUUUUUGAUAGAGAUAAGAAAUAUAUCUCGGAUUUUCAGUACCUGAUGAUUGUCGUGUGAAUUUUUUUUAAAUAUUAAAAUGUAAGGAAAUUA